rnacentral:rRNA from 2 species
AAGCCUGAUCCAGCAAUGCCGCGUGCAGGAUGAAGGCCUUCGGGUUGUAAACUGCUUUUGUACGGAACGAAAAGCCUCUCUCUAAUACAGGGACGAUAAUGACGGUACCGUACAAGGAAGCCACGGCUAACUACGUGCCAGCAGCCGCGGUAAUACGUAGGUGGCAAGCGUUGUCCGGAAUUACUGGGUGUAAAGGAUGCGUAGGCGGAUAUGUAAGUCAGAUGUGAAACCCCCGGGCUUAACCCGGGGCAUGCAUUUGAGACUGCAUAUCUAGAGUGCAGGAGAGGAAAGCGGAAUUCCUAGUGUAGCGGUGAAAUGCGUAGAUAUUAGGAAGAACACCAGUGGCGAAGGCGGCUUUCUGGACUGUAACUGACGCUGAUGCAUGAAAGCGUGGGGAGCAAACA